GAACCAUCAAACAAAUGGACCUCUAUGAAAAUAAAUCCAUCUACAAAUAUCAACAACUUAUCAGAAUUUCAUGGUUGGUUUUGGUCGUUCAUCAUUCGUCCCGUUUGUUUGGCAUUGAUGAUAAUAACUGUUCUGGUGAUCAGCAGAUGGAAGAAAAGAAAAGGAAAUAAAUCAACAGAGGAAGAAUAAAGUCAAGU